CUCCUUUGACGUUAGCGGCGGACGGGUGAGUAACACGUGGGUAACCUACCUAUAAGACUGGGAUAACUUCGGGAAACCGGAGCUAAUACCGGAUAAUAUUUCGAACCGCAUGGUUCGAUAGUGAAAGGUGGUUUUGCUAUCACUUAUAGAUGGACCCGCGCCGUAUUAGCUAGUUGGUAAGGUAACGGCUUACCAAGGCGACGAUACGUAGCCGACCUGAGAGGGUGAUCGGCCACACUGGAACUGAGACACGGUCCAGACUCCUACGGGAGGCAGCAGGG
rnacentral:rRNA from 1 species